AGAUUCUUCCCAGACGCGGAGGUUCGGGUCAUGGCGCCCCGAACCCUCCUCCUGCUGCUCUCAGGGGCCCUGGCCCUGACCGAGACCUGGGCGGCGACGCGGCGAUUCCGAGGAUGGAGCCGCGGGCGCCGUGGGUGGAGCAAGAGGGGCCGCAGUAUUGGGAGUGGACCACAGGGUACGCCAAGGCCAACGCACAGACUGACCGAGUGGCCCUGAAGAACCUGCUCCGCCGCUACAACCAGAGCGAGGCCGGAUCUCACACCCUCCAGGGAAUGAAUGGCUGCGACAUGGGGCCCGACGGACGCCUCCUCCGCGGGUAUCACCAGCACGCGUACGACGGCAAGGAUUACAUCUCCCUGAACGAGGACCUGCGCUCCUGGACCGCGGCGGACACCGUGGCUCAGAUCACCCAGCGCUUCUAUGAGGCAGAGGAAUAUGCAGAGGAGUUCAGGAUCUACCUGGAGGGCGAGUGCCUAGAGUUGCUCCGCAGAUACCUGGAGAACGGGAAGGAGACGCUACAGCGCGCAGAUCCCCCAAAGGCACACAUUGCCCACCACCCCAUCUCUGACCAUGAGGCCACCCUGA
rnacentral:sRNA from 1 species